rnacentral:rRNA from 1 species
GAGUUUGAUCCUGGCUCAGGAUGAACGCUGGCGGCGUGCCUAAUGCAUGCAAGUCGAACGAGGUCGCUCCUUCGGGGGCUAAACCUAGUGGCAGACGGCUGAGUAACACGUGGGUGACCUGCCCCCGAGAACGGGAUAACUGUGGGAAACUGCAGCUAAUACCGUAUACAUUCCCCUGCUUCAAGGCGUGGGAAGAAAGAUUUAUCGCUCGAGGAUGGGCCCGCGCCCUAUCAGGUAGUUGGUGCGGUAACGGCGCACCAAGCCGAAAACGGGUAUCUGGUGUGAGAGCAUGACUAGACAGAGGGGGACUGAGACACGGCCCCCACUCCUCCGGGAGGCAGCAGCAAGGGAUCGUGCACAAUGGGCGAAAGCCUGAUGCCGCGACGCCGCGUGAGGGAUGACGGCUUUCGAGUUGUAAACCUCUUUUCUCAGGGAAGAGAGAGGACGUCACCUGAGGAAUAAGUCAUGGCUAACUACGUGCCAGCAGCAGCGGUAAUACGUAGGUGGCAAGCGUUGUCCGGAAUUACUGGGCGUAAAGGGUCCGUAGGCGGUUCGGUCAGUCUUCUGUGAAAGCUCCAGGCUCACCUUGGAGUCGUCGGGAGAAACUGCCGAACUAGAGACUGUCAGAGGCAGGUGGAAUUCCCGGUGUAGUGGUGAAAUACGUAGAUAUCGGGAGGAACCCCAGUGGCGAAAGCGGCCUGCUGGGACAGUUCUGACGCUAAGGGACUAAAGCGUGGGGAGCGAACCGGAUUAGAUACCCUGGUAGUC